CAGUAGGGAAUCUUCGGCAAUGGACGAAAGUCUGACCGAGCAACGCCGCGUGAGUGAAGAAGGUUUUCGGAUCGUAAAACUCUGUUGUUAGAGAAGGACAAGGAUGAGAGUAACUGUUCAUCCCUUGACGGUAUCUAACCAGAAAGCCACGGCUAACUACGUGCCAGCAGCCGCGGUAAUACGUAGGUGGCAAGCGUUGUCCGGAUUUAUUGGGCGUAAAGCGAGCGCAGGCGGUUUCUUAAGUCUGAUGUGAAAGC
rnacentral:rRNA from 1 species